GCCGCUGUACAUAGUGUUUCGUCUCUGGAUCUCCCUGUCCUUGUGGGGAGUCCUUGUUGUUCUAGUCAUGGAGGAGUUGUCAUAGGAGAGGGGGGAAGGGAUCUUGUUUUAGGG
rnacentral:pre_miRNA from 1 species